rnacentral:rRNA from 1 species
CUAAGGCUCCAGAGGAAGCCACGGCUAACUCUGUGCCAGCAGCCGCGGUAAUACAGAGGCGGCAAGCGUUGUUCGGAAUUAUUGGGCGUAAAGAGCACGUAGGCGGCCUUGCAAGUCAGUUGUGAAAGCCUUCCGCUUAACGGAAGAAUGCCAGCUGAUACUACAGGGCUUGAGUACGGGAGGGGAGAGUGGAACUUCUGGUGGAGCGGUGAAAUGCGUAGAUAUCAGAAGGAACGCCGGCGGCGAAAGCGACUCUCUGGCCCGAAACUGACGCUGAGUGUGCGAAAGCCAGGGGAGCGAACGGGAUUAGAUACCCCGGUAGUCCUAGCCGUAAA